GGGGAUAUAGCUCAGCUGGUAGAGUACUUGCCUUGUAAGCAUAAGGACCUGGGUUCAAUCCCCAACACCA
rnacentral:tRNA from 1 species